AUUGAACGCUGGCGGAAUGCUUUACACAUGCAAGUCGAACGGCAGCACGGGGGCAACCCUGGUGGCGAGUGGCGAACGGGUGAGUAAUACAUCGGAACGUGCCCGGUCGUGGGGGAUAACGCAGCGAAAGCUGUGCUAAUACCGCAUACGAUCUAAGGAUGAAAGCGGGGGACCGAAAGGCCUCGCGCGAUUGGAGCGGCCGAUGGCAGAUUAGGUAGUUGGUGGGGUAAAGGCNCACCAAGCCGACGAUCUGUAGCUGGUCUGAGAGGACGACCAGCCACACUGGGACUGAGACACGGCCCAGACUCCUACGGGAGGCAGCAGUGGGGAAUUUUGGACAAUGGGCGCAAGCCUGAUCCAGCCAUUCCGCGUGCAGGAUGAAGGCCCUCGGGUUGUAAACUGCUUUUGUACGGAACGAAAAGGCUUCUUCUAAUACGGGGAGCUCAUGACGGUACCGUAAGAAUAAGCACCGGCUAACUACGUGCCAGCAGCCGCAGU
rnacentral:rRNA from 1 species